AUUGAACGCUGGCGGCAGGCUUAACACAUGCAAGUCGAACGAGCCGCGGACGCGUGAGUAUUGUCUGUAAAACUGCCUGAUGGUGGGGGAUAACUACUGGAAACGGUCGCUACUACCGCAUACCCUCAGAUGUGCCCAGAUGGGAUUCGCUAGUGGUUGGGGUAACGGCUCACCGAGGCGACGAUCCCUAGCUGGUCUGAGAGGAGGACCAGCCCCACUGGAACGGAGACACGGUCCAGACUCCUACGGGAGGCAGCAGUGGGGAAUAUUGCACAAUGGGCGCAAGCCUGAUGCAGCCAUGCCGCGUGUGUGAAGAAGGCCUUCGGGUUGUAAAGCACUUUCAGCGGGGAGGCGUUACCCGCAGAAGAAGCACCGGCUAACUCCGUGCCAGCAGCCGCGGUAAUAC
rnacentral:rRNA from 1 species